rnacentral:rRNA from 1 species
UACGUAGGUGGCAAGCGUUGUCCGGAUUUACUGGGCGUAAAGGGCGUGCAGGCGGUUCGUUAAGUCUAGGGUGAAAGCUCCCGGCUCAACUGGGAGAGGUCCUUGGAUACUGGCGGACUAGAGGAAGGUAGAGGAGAGUGGAAUUCCCGGUGUAGUGGUGAUAUGCGUAGAUAUCGGGAGGAACACCAGUGGCGAAGGCGGCUCUCUGGGCCUUUCCUGACGCUGAGACGCGAAAGCGUGGGGAGCGAACCGG